UACGUAGGGUGCGAGCGUUUAAUCGGGAAUUACUGGGCGUAAAGCGUGCGCAGGCGGCGCGUUAAGACAGGUGUGAAAGCCCCGAGCUUAACUUGGGAAUUGCGCUUGUGACUGGCGUGCUGGAGUGUGGCAGAGGGAGGUGGAAUUCCACGUGUAGCAGUGAAAUGCGUAGAGAUGUGGAGGAACACCGAUGGCGAAGGCAGCCUCCUGGGCCAGCACUGACGCUCAUGCACGAAAGCGUGGGGAGCAAACAGG
rnacentral:rRNA from 1 species